rnacentral:rRNA from 1 species
AUACGUGGGGGGCGAGCGUUGUCCGGAAUGAUUGGGCGUAAAGGGCGCGUAGGCGGCCCGGUAAGUCUGGAGUGAAAGUCCUGUUUUUAAGAUGGGAAUUGCUUUGGAUACUGUCGGGCUUGAGUGCAGGAGAGGUAAGUGGAAUUCCCAGUGUAGCGGUGAAAUGCGUAGAGAUUGGGAGGAACACCAGUGGCGAAGGCGACUUACUGGACUGUAACUGACGCUGAGGCGCGAAAGUGUGGGGAGCAAACAGGAUUAGAUACCCUGGUAGUCCACACUGUAAACGAUGAAUGCUAGGUGUAGGGGGUAUCGACCCCUUCUGUGCCGCAGUCAACACAAUAAGCAUUCCGCCUGGGGAGUACGGCCGCAAGGUUGAAACUCAAAUGAAUUGACGGGG